rnacentral:lncRNA from 1 species
UUCAACUCUAUGUUCAAGAAAUUAGUAUUCCUAGUGUUUAAAAAAUCUGAUUUAGAUUAAAAUCUGGUUCUUGAUCUCAAUUAGAAUUGAUUUUUUUCUUAGAGAACCUUUUUACCAUAUUUUGCCCAGAAUCUACUUGGAUAUUUAUUAAUUUGAUCAUACCAAUCGUCAUUGUUGAGAACUGGAGUGCUGAUUGGGAAUGCAUAAUAACCCAUAGAUCAUGAUGGUAAAGGCUUAUUUGGUUUACACCUAAGUACAAUUUAGAACAUAAAUGCCAUUUCAACUUUUGGAAGCCAUUUAUCUAGGACCAAAGGUUUGCAAUUCAAGGGGAAAACAAAAUGUUUUUCAAAUGUUUGGAAACAAAAUGGUAAGAAUCCAAAAAUAGAGAACAAAUUGUGAUAGAAGAAAAAUGCAUAUUUUACAAAUUUAUAUUUUUUUUAUAAUUUAUAUUUUUAUUCAUUUGAGGAAAAAGAGCGUCAAGCAGCUCGAACAUUGGAACAAAAAGAGCAAAAAGAUUAUCAUUAACAUUAAUAAUUGGCUUCAUUAAUUUAUUACCCUUGUUUGGCCAUGAAUAUUCAUAAUAAAAUUAUUUAAAAUGCUGUAUCGAUUAAUUUUUGAGAAAUUCACUCAUCUAGGAAGAAUAAUUGAAGAUAAUUAAUGAUACACUUCCAUUAUCAAAUAAUAUAGUUAUGUAUCCCGUCAUGUCAAUGAUCUAUUUAGAAUGCCUAUCAAAUGGAGGAUAAUCGACACACUAUGGUAAAUUGGAUCAUUUCUAAUGCUAAUUAAUUCAUAUGCCAAUGCUUAUGAGCAUUGUAAAAUAAACUUCCGGCGCUUCACAAAGCAUCACAAAACCAUCAGAAAUGAAAGUAUGAAAAAUUAUUUAUUGAUGCUUCCUUUUCGCAUUGUAAAGAGUGAAUGCUGCAAUCUAACGACACUUUAAAGCAUCAACUAAUUCCAAAUAAAUGAUGCUUCUGUGUGUCAUUAGUUCAUAU